UUUUUACCUUCCACAUUCUUAUUUUUGUUAAUGCAGUUGCAAUAAGAAAACAUAUUUUUUCCCCCAUAUUUCUUAAAGUAUGUAAGAGUGAAGAUUUGUUUACGUGGGUCGUUGUUUUCAAAUAACCUCAACUAAAUGCAUUAGGUAGUUUCAGCUAUUUUUAUGACAAUGUACUGUAGUCAUAUAUGCAUCAGUUUCUCUGAGAUCAUCUGCAAUAUCUCUGUCCUGCUUUUACAGAUGCUAAAUAUAAGCAGACUAAGUUAUACAGAUGCUCAUCUCUGCCAAAACUCACGUGACUACAACGCAAACACAGCAUCACAGUUCAUCACUUUACUUUAAUUGCUUCUUCACUCAGGAUGUUAACAUGCUACACAUUUCUUUUAAUAUUUCUAUGUUUUGUAGUAACCAACAGAAGCUGAAGGAAUGGCAGACAUUACUCAGACACCUGUGAACACUGAGCAGUGGUUGGAGUCCAAGACAGUGAAAUCAUCUUUAUUAUACUUCUGACUGAACUAGCAAGGAGCAUUAGAGACAAUGAGAAAGUAAGUUCAAGUAAAAUGUUUGCAUUGACCAUUUCACCGUGUUAUUUUUUGCAGUAACUGCAGGGAAUAUUAAUUGAAGAUACCUGAUCAACAGCAAGCUUUGGAUCUACUGAAUGUGUAUUUUUCAAGCAUUUUAUUGCAGGGUUCACUUUUAUUUUUCUGCAAAGCGAUGACUGGUCAAAAGUGUUUAUUAAUUUACUUCAAUGGAUAGUUAACCAGAAUUCUGUCUUUUACGUUUUCCCAAACCUCAACUCUCUUUAAUUAGCAUGCUGCACACUAAAUAUUAAUCACGCUGGGCACAGCCACUUAUUGUGCUGUCACUGCAGUUAGUGCUGUAAAUAGUCUGUCAAAUAACAGGUACAUUGAUACAACAUACAUUUAAUGUAGUUCACAAUGAUGCAUUACGUUAGACCUUUACUAAUAGAUACUUGUAUAUGAUUUGCUCUUUACAAGUGCAGAAAUGAAAGCUCCCAAACAAAGAUGUCACCGGAUUAAGAUGUGGAAAGACAUGUUACACCACAACAACUAUAAAUCCUGAGUAAUUUGAAUAUGGGCAACAACCAAGAAAAAUUACCCAUUGAUUUAGUCAGAAAUGACUCAUGGUAAUAGUAAUAGUAAAUGAUUAGAUAAAUAAAUAAAAAGUACAAAAUGGUUUUAAUUUUAAA
ensembl:lncRNA